UCUAGCAGAGAGCAGAUAAAUCAGCAAAAGAUAAUUACCUUUUUCAAAUAAAUUAAAAACUGACUGACAGUAAUACAAUAAAGAAUUAUGUAAUAUGAGGGAAGUAUUCAGUGUAAGCAAUUAUCAGGAUGAAAGAUAGCCUGCAAGACAGUAAGAUGCAGCUCCAUGCUAUGAGUUUGAGAAACUCUGCUAGAAUCAUCUCUACCAACAUGGAAGAGAGCAUAUCCACCUCCCACAGCAUCCUGAACAUUUGUCAAGGCAGAAUUCUCCCCACCCCAAUGUGAGCAACUCCCAAUCCUGGAUGGUAGCUGCAACAUAGUGAGGGAAGAGUUCAUCCCCUGCAGUGCUCAGAGCAGAAAGACCUUACAGUAACUACACAGAUGUUUACGACCCUGUCGUAAUAAUCUUUUGCCCUUCUCCUGGAUCUAAGAGACAUGCCCAGCAGAUCAGAAUUGCCCCCGCUAUACUGCUGGGGCCCCAAUACUCAGAAAGAGAGCGAGACCAGCCCAAGGCCGUAGAGACAGUCCUGCUUUGAGAUAUUGAGGGCUCAGUGGAGACUAGAGCGGGUUGCGUAUCCAGAUCUCCUCUAGAAGGAUGACUAUUUACAAUACUGGCUGCUCAUCCACAAUGAAGUGAUGAAGGUUCCUGUCAUUCAUGCUUGGCUCACAUAGAUCAAAAUGGUGUUACUCUCCAACUAGAAACUGCUGUGCAGUGUCAUACUCAACAUUGUUUCACA